AAACCACCUAAAACUUGAUGAAAUAAUAAAUUAGUCAUGUGUUUAUAAUAUACCAUGUUAAAUACCUACAUUUAAUAAUAUCUCUCACAAAAAAAAAGCAUUUAAUGGCUGUUAAACAGCCAGUCUCGAGACAACAACAAAAUCUAGAACUUUUUUCUUUUUAUUUGUUUUAAAACUCAACUACUUGUAUUUAAUUCUCAUUGAAACUUUAACCCUUUUACCUCCCUUCCAUUUUGCCUUCAGCUUCAUCUAAACCCACACACAAAGGCAAGAACCCUAUCUCUCUCCCUCGAUUAUAUGUACAGACAACGUAUACAAACAAUAAUCAACUCCCAUACCCUCACAACCGUUUACAACCUCCUGCGGAGAAACCGAGUUCGCCGGAGCUUACGUCGGGAUCCACCGGAGAAACCGAGUUCGCCGGAGCCAACGGAGAUCACUUCACUCGUUCUCGAUAUACCUCGCCUUGUUUUCUCACUCACAAAACGUUAAACUUGCGCCGGAGAAACCCAUACUCGUCGGAGUUCGUUAACCUACCAUCUCCCUCUCUCGCUCGGUAACAUGCAGCCGGAACCAAGAGGAAACCCAUCGUAGGAACUAGACACGCCGGGGAUACGCCGCCGGAGACCGAGAAGAAGAUCGGAGAAGACGACCGGAAUUCACGACGGACUCUAGCUCGAAUCGUCAUGUGUUCGGAUAAUCGUUCUCAUACUCUUGGAAUUCUCCAUUUUUAAUUGUGCGUUAUUUCAAGGAAUCUCCAAACGCAACCAAUGUUAAUUGUUGAAGUAUGGACAUGAUGAAACGAGAUUUAGG